UGAAUGCGUGUCAGGUGAGUAUUAAUAAUUGAGGAAUUUAAAUUUUGAUUCUUUUUUUUAGGUAUUAGAUUGGACACUAAGACUUUUUCCGCUUGUGGUAUUAAAUAUCUUUGGAUACGAUCACCGAAAGCAAGUUACACAGAUUCUUAUUCAACAUGCUGCAAAUACGGUGAAAUUGGCCGCUAUUAAAUCAAGAGAAGAAUUGCAAUGUAUUGCAAAUACAAGUACUUUAGGUUCCUUGUAUCGUCAUAUGCCAGCGUGGAUGGCGGCCAGUCGACUUGGUGCAAGUAGUUAUGGCUACUGUGACUCCUCCGACGAUCCAUUUAAUUUAUUGAGCACCGUGAAUGAUGAAUUCCCUUCAAGAACCCCGAUGCCCGAAUACUACCUCCUUUCAUUUAAGCUUGGAAAUCAAUCUGAUUUGUCAGACACUUUCGUGACGCAGCGAAACGGAAGCGCCGUUCUCAGCUUUCUAUGUAAAUAACGGCAAGAUGGAUAAAAAUAUAUUUUAAUUUCCAGAUAUGGUGUUACAUUAAUAUAAAAUAAUAUAUCAAAACAGUCU